rnacentral:rRNA from 1 species
GAAAGCACAAAGGGCGCAUGGCGGAUGCCUACGCACCAAAUGGCGAUGAAGGACGUGGCGAACUGCGAUAAGCCCCGGUUAGCUGUAAGCGAGCUUAGACCCGGGGAUUUCCGAAUGGGGCAACCCGGCAGGUUGAAGACCUGUCAUCUGAUUCAUCAGAGGCGAACGACGUGAAUUGAAACAUCUUGGUAGCGUCAGGAAGAGAAAGUAACAACGAUUCCCUCAGUAGCGGCGAGCGAACGGGGAAGAGCCUAAACCGGCCUAUGGCCGGGGUCGUGGGACGGCGACAUCUGGAUAUAACUUAUAGACGAACCGAUCUGGAAAGAUCGACCACAGAGGGUGAUAGUCCCGUAGUUGAAAUGGGUUAUGUUUGGUAGCCGGAUCCCGAGUAGCCCGGGACACGUGAAAUCCUGGGUGAAUCUGCGAGGACCAUCUCGUAAGGCUAAAUACAUUUGGUGACUGAUAGCGUAGCAGUACCGUGAGGGAAAGGUGAAAAGAACCCCGGGAGGGGAGUGAAAUAGAACCUGAAACCGUGUGCCUACAUGCGGUCAGAGCCGGUAUCCAUUAUGUCUUGGAAGUUAUUGAAUCUAUUUAUUGAUUGGAUAUAUUUCAGGAUAUAAUGGAUACUGGUGAUGGCGUGCCUUUUGCAUAUGAGCCAACGAGUUAAUGUCAUAAGCGAGGUUAAGUAUUACAGGUAUGGAGCCGCAGCGAAAGCGAGUGUUAAUAGCGCGUAUAGUUUAUGGUAUUAGACCCGAAACCAGGUGAUCUACCCAUGGUCAGGUUGAAGGUUGGGUAAAACCAACUGGAGGACCGCACCAACCGUCGUUGAAAAGUCGGUGGAUGAACUGUGGGUAGGGGUGAAAGGCCAAACAAACCUGGAGAUAGCUGGUUCUCUCCGAAACAUAUUUAGGUAUGGCCUCAGGAUCAAGAUUAACGGAGGUAGAGCACUGACUGGGCUAGGGGGCUUACACGCUUACUGAACCCAAUCAAACUCCGAAUGCCGUUAAUUGUUUCCUGGGAGACAGGGCGUGAGGGAUAAGCUUCACGUGCGAGAGGGGAACAACCCAGACUGUCAGCUAAGGUCCCCAAAUAGAUGCUUAGUGCUUAAGGAUGUUCAAUUGCUCAGACAGCCAGGAUCUUGGCUUAGAAGCAGCCACGAUUUAAAGAGUGCGUAACAGCUCACUGGUCGAGUGGUAGAGCACCGAAGAUGAUCGGGACUUAAGCAUCUUGCCGAAGCUGCGGAACGAUACGCAAGUAUUGUUGGUAGGAGAGCAUUGUGAAUGCACAGAAGGUGAACUGUGAGGUUUGCUGGAGCGUUCACAAGAGACCAUGUUGGCAUGAGUAACUAUAAUGCGGGUGAGAACCCCGCACACCGUAAGCCCGAGGAUUCCUGAGUAAAGUCAAUCUGCUCAGGGUUAGUCGGCCCCUAAGGUAUAGCCGAAUGGCGAAGCUGAUGGGAAUCAGGUUAAUAUUCCUGAACCUGUGUAUCGAGCGAUGGAGUGACGCAAGGGUGCAGUGGAGACGGCUGCUGGAAUAGCCGUUGAAUGUGUGUAGGAGGUGUCCCAGGCAAAUCCGGGGCACAUAUACUCCGAGGCAUAGGACGAGGCGUAAGCCGCAAAGUCCACGUAGAUACCUUGCCUAGAAAUAGCUUCUAAGCAUAUUGAUAUACAGACCGUACCGCAAACCAACACAGGUGGGCGAGGAGAGUAUCCUAAGGUGUUCGAGCGAACUCUGGUUAAGGAACUAGGCAAAAUGACCCCGUAACUUCGGGAGAAGGGGUCCCCUGUUAUUGUGAUUGGAUUUACUCCGUGAGCAAGAGAGGGGCGCAGUGAAUAGGCCCAAACGACUGUUUAUCAAAAACACAGGUCUAUGCGAAGGGGAAACCCACGGUAUAUAGACUGACACCUGCCCGGUGCCGGAAGGUUAAAUGGAGAGGUUAGCGCUUUUAGUGCGAAGCUUUGAAAUGAAGCCCCGGUAAACGGCGGCCGUAACUAUAACGGUCCUAAGGUAGCGAAAUUCCUUGUCGGGUAAGUUCCGACCUGCACGAAUGGUGUAACGAUUUGG